rnacentral:rRNA from 1 species
UAGGUGAACCUGCGGAGGGAUCAUUACACAAAGAAUAGGUAGGCUGCCUGUGGCUGGGCCCUCUCGGGGGCGCAGUGGCAGCGGCUGAACUAUUUUUCACCCAUGUCUUUUGCGCACUUGUUAUUUCCUGGGCGGGUUCGCCCGCCACCAGGACCACACCAUAAACCUUUUUUAUGCAGUUGCAAUCCGCGUCAGUAUAACUAAUGUAAAAUCAUUUACAACUUUCAACAACGGAUCUCUUGGUUCUGGCAUCGAUGAAGAACGCAGCGAAAUGCGAUACGUAGUGUGAAUUGCAGAAUUCAGUGAAUCAUCGAAUCUUUGAACGCACAUUGCGCCCUUUGGUAUUCCAAAGGGCAUGCCUGUUCGAGCGUCAUUUGUACCCUCAAGCUUUGCUUGGUGUUGGGCGUUGUUGUCUUGCCGUGCGCAAGACUCGCCUUAAAACGAUUGGCAGCCGGCCUACUGGUUUCGGAGCGCAGCACAUUUUUUGCGCUUGCAACCAGCAAAAGAGGUCGGCGAUCCAGCAAGUCUAUCUUCUCACUUUUGACCUCGGAUCAGGUAGGGAUACCCGCUGAACUUAAGCAUAUCAAUAAG